rnacentral:rRNA from 1 species
CCUACGGGUGGCAGCAGUGAGGAAUAUUGGUCAAUGGACGAGAGUCUGAACCAGCCAAGUAGCGUGAAGGAUGACUGCCCCAUGGGUUGUAAACUUCUUUUAUAUGGGAAUAAAACGUUCCACGUGUGGGAUUUUGUAUGUACCAUAUGAAUAAGGAUCGGCUAACUCCGUGCCAGCAGCCGCGGUAAUACGGAGGAUCCGAGCGUUAUCCGGAUUUAUUGGGUUUAAAGGGAGCGUAGGUGGAUUGUUAAGUCAGUUGUGAAAGUUUGCGGCUCAACCGUAAAAUUGCAGUUGAAACUGGCAGUCUUGAGUACAGUAGAGGUGGGCGGAAUUCGUGGUGUAGCGGUGAAAUGCUUAGAUAUCACGAAGAACUCCGAUUGCGAAGGCAGUUCACUGGACUGCAACUGACACUGAGGCUCGAAAGUGUGGGUAUCAAACAGGAUUAGAUACCCUAGUAGUC